rnacentral:lncRNA from 1 species
UUUUGGGGAAUGACUUUUUAAUAGCAGAUGCUCUAGAAACAACAAAGAAGCUGACUACUAACUUUUCAGAACCUGGCGGUUUGUAUGUAAUUGCAUUUUUUUCAUUAUGGUUUUGUAUCCUCCUUCAUUCUUGAAAUGGAAUCGACUCCCCUCUUAGACAAUAAUGGGAAAUUGAACAACUGCUGAGACAAUGAAUUUCCCCCCAUAACAUACAUGAAGCUCCUCAAAGAGUACAUGAGAGAGAUGCUCUCUUUUCCACUGCUUGCUCUCAAUCACCUGGUCCCUAAAUUGGACUACAGUUAGGACUACAAUUUGACUGCUAUUUAUAUUCCUACCAGAUUUAUGAGUGAUUUUCUUAAAAAAUGAGGGGACGUACUCUCCAUAUCUUCUAUAUUACUUGUUGGGAAACCACACAAUUCCGUCUGGUGAGAUAUACCUUGACAUAGAAACUCAUUAAUCUAUUCCUUAAUUAAUAUGUCUAAGCAUUCCUAAUA